rnacentral:rRNA from 1 species
UGGGGAAUAUUGCGCAAUGGGCGAAAGCCUGACGCAGCGACGCCGCGUGAGGGAUGAAGGUUUUCGGAUCGUAAACCUCUGUCAGGGGGGAAGAACGGCUCAUGAGCUAAUAACUCAUGGGAUUGACGGUACCCCCAAAGGAAGCACCGGCUAACUCCGUGCCAGCAGCCGCGGUAAUACGGAGGGUGCAAGCGUUAAUCGGAAUUACUGGGCGUAAAGCGCUCGUAGGCGGCUAGUCAAGUCACAGGGUGAAAUCCCACGGCUCAACCGUGGAACUGCCCUUGAAACUGUCUGGCUAGAGUACUGGAGAGGGUGGCGGAAUUCCAGGUGUAGGAGUGAAAUCCGUAGAUAUCUGGAGGAACACCGGUGGCGAAGGCGGCCACCUGGACAGUAACUGACGCUGAGGAGCGAAAGCGUGGGUAGCAAACA